rnacentral:lncRNA from 1 species
UAGAACGACAAAAUUAACACUUUUCUUUUGUGAGAACAACAUUCGCAUAUCAAAAUAUAAUACUCAUGUUGAUCAAUUGCUUUACUGAACUACAAACUGUAAAUAUUUUCAUAGAGAUGUUUUCAGAAGACAAAAGGCUUGGGGGUUACCAGCUUAAAAGAAAGCUACUAAGAGAUCUCCACCUAUACCCAAAAGCUUAAACAUUAAGCCAACACAAUCCUAUCCAACAGACUGAAACCUUAGAUCACUCUGAUCAUAUGCUAGCUAACAUUCCUUACAUAGCUUCCACUUUUUCAGCUACAGAACAAAAGGCCACACUUAUCCCUGUCCACCCGUCAAGCAGAACAAUGCUCCAGGACUGCAAGAGAAUGAAUUUAUAAAGUAUCAAAUCAGACUUGUAGGGAAUUUCUUAACUACCAAAUAGACCAAAUACAGAAAAUACAAACAAUACCAAGGGUUGGCAAGGCUUUUGAAUCUUUGACAAUAAAAAAAAUUCUCAAAUGCUUGGUUUUCUAUACAACCAAUAUAGCUUACAUGAUAGUUGUGGGAUGAGGUGGCAAUAUCAUCAAGCUUCUUUCCAUGAAAAUUACAGCAUUUAGGCAACAUAUAUUCUAUCCUUUUGUUCUGAUAGUGUUAGAAACAAAUUAUGACAGGAUGCCAGAUCAAGCAACCAGAAUAACAUCUAAGCACAUAAACAUGUCCUUUUCAACUCUUGCAAGACAACUUCUGUAAUCAGCAAUUUGCAGAAUUGUAUCGCAAAUAUAGAUAACAUCAUAUUGCAGUUAUACACAGAAAUAACCAGCAAAGUUUCUAAUCAUAGAUAGACCAGCAUUUUCAAUGUUGUAACAAAAAUUUUGUGAUCAGAAAACUAAUAGAUGUAUACAGACAAAUUUUGUGAUCAGAAAACCGAUAGAGCCAUAUAGGCUGUACAUGCUUUGUAUUAUCUCAAAUUAGAAAGGCAACCAGGAUUGUAGAUGUAGGACCCCAAGGAAUGCAUGUAAGAAUUAAACGAUGCGAACACCUCUAGCAAAUAGUGAACCCAUGGCCCGCUGUUUAAAUCAUUUAAAAUUUAACAGCAAAUCCAGCUCGUUAAGCACCUUAAUCUAAUCAAACUAACUAAAAAAAGGAAAAUAAAAUGAACAAAGAUGGCAUUUCUGCCGCUGGCUUUUUUCUCGAGCACGCAAGAGAGUUGUUCUGCCCGUGGCUUUGUGCCAUCACCAAUGUGUAAUCUCCUUCCCACCUGAAUGGUGCAUUCAAAUGUGAAAUACAUGAGAGGUUUUUUAGAGUGUCUUUCAGCUGUGACAGAAUCAUUUGCACAGUAUUCCCCACCUAAUGUUAGUAUUUUCCUUGAAAACUCAAUCAGGAAUCACAAGAACCAUACAGAUUUAUGAAUCACAGGGACAAGCAAUGACUGAUUAUAAUUGGAGAAGUUUGUUAGCUAUUUAGGUAGUCACAUAAAUAUUCUAGCAAAAGAAGCAGUUAUCAGCAAUCAUUAUCUAUAUGAAAUGCAUGCAUCUACAGAGCUAACUACAAAUGAAUAUUUUCAAUGAUGCAUUUCAUUAGAUAUUUUAACUGCUAACAUUAAGGUAGGUUCAAAUGUUUAGGGCAAAUUAAGUGGAAGCUAGGAUCCAAAUCUAAAGCCCAACAAACCAUUCAGGCUUACACACUAACAGGUCAUGUAAGAUUGCCACAUUCCCAUGCUUGUAGGGAAAACAACGAACACCUUGUAGGCAGGACACCACACAAAACAAACACCUCAAAUUUUUGUGGGGAAUACAAACGAAAAUCAGAUACCAAUGGAAGAUGGCUUGCUGCAUCCAGAGAACGGCAAAAAUCAGAUACUAAUGGGAGAUGGCUUGCUGCAUCCAGAGAACGGCUAGGCGAUGGGAGACAACUCCUCCUCCAUCUGGUGGCCAGAAAAAAAUAGGAGCUUUGCCACUGCUUAUGGAGCACCCACAUCACUCGAAAAUCAAGCCAUGCACCGCCAGACAUAUACCUCGCCACCUCACCUUGGAGAACUCCAUGCCAACGCCAUUUCUAGCAAGCUCGAGGCAUUGUCCACCUGAACCAGUGAACCACCACCACACCGGGGACGUUGCCAGCUACACACUUCAGGCCCGCUCCGCCAUGCGCUCCUCCUCUCUUCGCCAGAUCUGGCCGCUGCAAGGUAGAUGCCACCAGAUCUGAAGGCAGCGUGGGGCUUGGAUUGUGGCGAAGGUAAAUCGCCGACGAGGUGGUGCUAAGGACGGAGACCUAACCUGAUUGAAAGCCAGAUCGACCUACUCGCUAGCUCGAGCCCAGCGGCAUCGGCAGCAAGAAGAGAGAGGAAGUGGAGGACAUGCGGCGAAGCAUGUGGCGGUGUCGGGGCGAGGUUAGGUGCUGGAGGAUGGAGCGGCGGCGCAACUGCGCAGGGUGUCGGUGUGGCGGGGAGAGGCGGCGCGAGGAGGGGGAAGCGACGCACCGUCACGGGAGUGGUGGCGGCUAGGGUUUCGGGGAGGAAGGGCCGAAAGGGGUAGGGAUUUAUGUUGUUU